GCCCGGGUAAUCUUGGGAAAUUUCAUCGUGAUGGGGAUAGAUCAUUGCAAUUGUUGGUCUUCAACGAGGAAUGCCUAGUAAGCGCGAGUCAUCAGCUCGCGUUGACUACGUCCCUGCCCUUUGUACACACCGCCCGUCGCUCCUACCGAUUGAAUGGUCCGGUGAAGUGUUCGGAUCACGGCGACGGGGGCGGUUCGCCACCCCCGACGUCGCGAGAAGUCCAUUGAACCUUAUCAUUUAGAGGAAGGAGAAGUCGUAACAAGGUUUCCGUAGGUGAACCUGCGGAAGGAUCAUUG
rnacentral:ncRNA from 1 species